UUAGAGGAAGUAAAAGUCGUAACAAGGUUUCCGUAGGUGAACCUGCGGAAGGAUCAUUAUUGAAAUAAACUGACAGGUUGUUGCUGGUUCUCUAGGGAACAUGUGCACGCCUUGUCAUCUUUAUAUCUCCACCUGUGCACCUUUUGUAGACCUGGAUAUCUCUCUGAGUGCUUGCACUCAGGUUUGAGGAUUGAUUUUUGUCUCUCCUUACAUUUCCAGGCCUAUGUUUCUUCAUAUACCCUAAUGUAUGUUAUAGAAUGUAAUAAAAAGGCCUUUGUGCCUAUAAACCUAUACAACUUUCAGCAACGGAUCUCUUGGCUCUCGCAUCGAUGAAGAACGCAGCGAAAUGCGAUAAGUAAUGUGAAUUGCAGAAUUCAGUGAAUCAUCGAAUCUUUGAACGCACCUUGCGCUCCUUGGUAUUCCGAGGAGCAUGCCUGUUUGAGUGUCAUUAAUAUAAUCAACCUCUUCAGCUUUUGCUUGCCGAGUGUUGGAUGUGGGGGUAUUUUUGCUGGCCUCUCUGAGGUCAGCUCCCCUGAAAUGUAUUAGCGGAAUAAUUUGUGAACCGUUCAUUGGUGUGAUAACUAUCUACGCUAUUGACGUGAAGCAAUUCUGCUUCUAACAGUCCAUUGACUUGGACAAAUUUCAUUAAACAUGACCUCAAAUCAGGUAGGACUACCCGCUGAACUUAAGCAUAUC
rnacentral:rRNA from 1 species